AGGGUGGCCUAGCGUUUAGGGCACUGGACUGAUACUCAGGAAAUCUGGGUUCUACUCCCGGCUCU
rnacentral:tRNA from 1 species